UACAGAGGUCCCAAGCGUUGUUCGGAUUCACUGGGCGUAAAGGGUGCGUAGGCGGUCGGGUAAGUCUGAUGUGAAAUCUCAGAGCUCAACUCUGAAACUGCAUCGGAUACUAUUCGGCUUGAGGUCUGGAGGGGGGACUGGAAUUCUCGGUGUAGCAGUGAAAUGCGUAGAUAUCGAGAGGAACACCAGUGGCGAAGGCGAGUCCCUGGACAGGUCCUGACGCUGAGGCACGAAAGCUAGGGGAGCAAACAGG
rnacentral:rRNA from 1 species